rnacentral:rRNA from 1 species
GACGAACGCUGGCGGCGCGCCUAACACAUGCAAGUCGAACGGAGCUGAGAGAAGCUUGCUUUUCUUAGCUUAGUGGCGAACGGGUGAGUAACGCGUGAGUAACCUGCCCUGGAGUGGGGGACAACAGUUGGAAACGACUGCUAAUACCGCAUAAGCCCACGAUCCGGCAUCGGAUUGAGGGAAAAGGAUUUAUUCGCUUCAGGAUGGACUCGCGUCCAAUUAGCUAGUUGGUGAGGUAACGGCCCACCAAGGCGACGAUUGGUAGCCGGACUGAGAGGUUGAACGGCCACAUUGGGACUGAGACACGGCCCAGACUCCUACGGGAGGCAGCAGUGGGGGAUAUUGCACAAUGGGGAAACCCUGAUGCAGCGACGCCGCGUGGAGGAAGAAGGUUUUCGGAUUGUAAACUCCUGUCGUUAGGGACGAUAAUGACGGUACCUAACAAGAAAGCACCGGCUAACUACGUG